rnacentral:rRNA from 1 species
AGACCCCGUGAACCUUUACUAUAGCUUUGCACUGGACUUUGAAUUUGCUUGUGUAGGAUAGGUGGGAGGCUUUGAAGCGUGGACGCCAGUCUGCGUGGAGCCAACCUUGAAAUACCACCCUGGCAACUUUGAGGUUCUAACUCAGGUCCGUUAUCCGGAUCGAGGACAGUGUAUGGUGGGUAGUUUGACUGGGGCGGUCUCCUCCUAAAGAGUAACGGAGGAGUACGAAGGUGCGCUCAGACCGGUCGGAAAUCGGUCGUAGAGUAUAAAGGCAAAAGCGCGCUUGACUGCGAGACAGACACGUCGAGCAGGUACGAAAGUAGGUCUUAGUGAUCCGGUGGUUCUGUAUGGAAGGGCCAUCGCUCAACGGAUAAAAGGUACUCCGGGGAUAACAGGCUGAUACCGCCCAAGAGUUCAUAUCGACGGCGGUGUUUGGCACCUCGAUGUCGGCUCAUCACAUCCUGGGGCUGAAGCCGGUCCCAAGGGUAUGGCUGUUCGCCAUUUAAAGUGGUACGCGAGCUGGGUUUAGAACGUCGUGAGACAGUUCGGUCCCUAUCUGCCGUGGACGUUUGAGAUUUGAGAGGGGCUGCUCCUAGUACGAGAGGACCGGAGUGGACGAACCUCUGGUGUUCCGGUUGUCACGCCAGUGGCAUUGCCGGGUAGCUAUGUUCGGAAAAGAUAACCGCUGAAAGCAUCUAAGCGGGAAACUUGCCUCAAGAUGAGAUCUCACUGGAACCUUGAGUUCCCUGAAGGGCCGUCGAAGACUACGACGUUGAUAGGUUGGGUGUGUAAGCGCUGUGAGGCGUUGAGCUAACCAAUACUAAUUGCCCGUGAGGCUUGACCAUAUAACACCCA